UACGGAGGAUGCGAGCGUUAUCCGGAUUUAUUGGGUUUAAAGGGUGCGUAGGUUGUUUUUUAAGUCAGCGGUGAAAGUUUGUGGCUCAACCAUAAAAUUGCCGUUGAAACUGGAAGACUUGAGUGUGUUUGAGGUAGGCGGAAUGCGUGGUGUAGCGGUGAAAUGCAUAGAUAUCAGGAGGAACAUCGGUGGCGAAAGCGCUUUACUGGACCAUUAUUGACGCUGAGGAACGAAAGCCAGGGGAGCAAAUGGG
rnacentral:rRNA from 1 species